UACGUAGGGUGCGAGCGUUGUCCGGAAUUAUUGGGCGUAAAGGGCUCGUAGGCGGUCUGUUGCGUCAGGAGUGAAAACUCGGGGCUUAACCCCGAGCCUGCUUCUGAUACGGGCAGACUAGAGGUAUGCAGGGGAGAACGGAAUUCCUGGUGUAGCGGUGAAAUGCGCAGAUAUCGAGAGGAACACCUGCGGCGAAGGCGGGUAGCUGGGCCGACACUGACGCUGAGGAGCGAAAGCGUGGGGAGCGAACAGG
rnacentral:rRNA from 1 species